rnacentral:lncRNA from 1 species
UGAGGAAAUAUGAGAGCCCCAGGAACUGAAAAGGCCUGUGAGAGACUCUGAGCUUCCUGGGAACAGGAUGAUAGUUAAAAAAAAAAAUGUUGGCCAGGCGCAGUGAUGGAUGCAUAUGAUCCCAGCACUUUGGGAGGCCGAGGUGGGCAGAUUGCUUGAGUUCAGGAGUUCAAGACCAGCCUGGCAACAUGGUGAAAUCCUGUGUCUACAAAAAAUGCAAAAAUUAGCUGGACAUGAUGGCAUGUGCCUUUGGUUCCAGCUACUUAGGAGGCUGAGGUAGGAGGAUGGCUUGAGCCCAGGAGGCGGAGGUUGCAGUGAGCCAAAAUCGUGCCACCGCACUCUAGCCUGGGCAACAGAGCCAGACCAUAUCUCAAAAAAAAAAAAAAAAAAGUUUAUCUACAAAAAUGCUUUUGUGCCUCUUACAUACAACCCUUCCAGAGGAAAGGCCUAGCUGAGAGUAAGAGAUGGUUGAAAAAAUGCAAUGUUAUGAUUGCUGAACAGGGCACGACUGUUUUUGUAAUAUUGGAGAAAAUAAUUAAAGCCUGGCACCUGGGGAGGCUUGAUCCCUGGAAGCCUCCUCUUGCUGAAGGAAAAUUCCCAGUGCUGCCUUUCCAUGUGCUGUGAGUGCUUUGAGUUCAGACUGACAACAGAGUGGGUCUAGCUUCUAUGCUUUCCAUGAAGAUCUCCCACAAAUGUCAUCCAUGCUCAUGAGAUGGAUCAACUUGUAUCCUGAACAAGCAAAACUGUUUGGGACUCACUGCCUUCAGGCAGUCCCUUGGAAGCCAAGGACUCUGGGAACUUUUCAGAUGGGACUGGAAACACUUGGGCAGGAGUUCCCCUGGUAGGAGGUCUGUUCACCUGUACAGCCUAAUGGAUGUCCUGCUUGAGGUGCCCUAAUAUUGCAAAUUCUUUGUUUACAGGGGUACCACCUGUGCCCCUGGGACUGUGCUUCUGUACAUGACCACAACUCUCAUGAUGUCCCCUCAGCCCUGGAAAGCAUUUGGGUUAGCUUCCGCUUACUGGUCAGAGUUAUACUGUGCCUGAAUUGAUGCCUCAGGUCAGGUUGAAAAAAAAAAAAAAGGUUCAGACAGCAAUUAAGGGCUGGGCACGGUGGCUCAUGCCUGUAAUCCCGGCACUUUGGGAGGCUGAGGUGGGCAGAUCACCUGAGGUCAGGAGUUUGAGACCAGCCUGACCGACAUGGUGAAAAGUAAAAAUACAAAAAUAAAAAAAUUAGCUGGGUGUGGUGGUGUGCACCUGUAGUCCCUACAAAAAUAAAAAAAUUAGCUGGGUGUGGUGGUGUGCACCUGUAGUCCCAGCUACUCGGGAGGCUGAGGCAGGAGAAUCGCUUGAACCCAGGAGGUGGAGGCUGCAGUGAGCCAAGAUCACGCCACUGCACUCCAGCCUGGGUGACAGAGCAAGACUCCAUCUCAACAACAACAACAAAAAGGAAUUAAGGAGGAAGCCACCUGGCUUCCUAAGAUAGACUUUAUGGUUAAUGGGAUUUAUUUUAGCUGGUUAAGUCCAGGACCCCUACCAGGAAGAACUGAGGUCCAUAUUUGAGGUUGGUCUCACCCUUUUGCAUGUGGUCCUACUAAUAAUAAUUUUGCUGUAAAGAAGCCUCAAUAAGGAGAUGGACUGUGUGAAAAGAGAUGAGAAAGCAGGCCUGUUUGCAAGGCUGGCCCUUGGCUGGCAUCUGAAAGCUUGGAUUUCAGGAGGGUUCUCAUUACUCCCUAAAUGAUAAGAGUGGCUCACUGUGCCUAAACUGUUCGUACAAACAAUGUGGGUUAUGCCCAACAUCUGCUUUCCUUCUGGGAGUCAGAUUUUCAUAUGUGUUAGGCAGAGGAUGAGGUGAGCAGCUCCCAAUGAGAACCCUGAACACUGAGUCUGUAAUGAGCUUCCCUUGUAUACAACAUUGCACAUGGGUUGUCACAACUGAUUGCUGGAGGAAUUGUGUCCUAUGUGACUCUGCUGGGAGAGGACUGUGGGAGGCUUACACCUGGUUUCCCUGGACUUUGUCCAUGCGCUUUUUUCCUUUGCUGAUUUUGCUUCCUAGCCUUUCGCUGUAGUAAAACAUAGCCAUGAGUAUGACUACAGGCUGAGUCUGUGAAUCUCCUAGUACAUCAUCAGACUAGGAGGUGGUGGUGUUGGCACCCCCCAGCACAGGGCACAAGGGAGACUUGCAGGGUGUUUGUCAUGUUCCCUUUCUCAAUCUGGGUGUGGUUUACAGAUUUGUUCAGUUUGUGAAAAUUCACUGAGCUCUAUGAACAAUUAUAAUAUGUACAUUUUUUUCUGUAAGUGUAUUAAAUUUCAAUAAAAA